rnacentral:rRNA from 1 species
UACAGAGGUCCCAAGCGUUGUUCGGAUUCACUGGGCGUAAAGGGUGCGUAGGCGGUCGGGUAAGUCUGAUGUGAAAUCUCACAGCUUAACUGUGAAACUGCAUUGGAUACUAUCCGGCUCGAGGAAUGGAGGGGAGACUGGAAUACUUGGUGUAGCAGUGAAAUGCGUAGAUAUUGCUAAGAACACCAAUGGCGAAGGCAGCUUGCUGGGCCACUCCUGACACUGAGGUACGAAAGCGUGGGGAGCGAACAGG